rnacentral:rRNA from 1 species
GACGAACGCUGGCGGCGUGCUUAACACAUGCAAGUCGAACGGAAAGGCCCUGCUUUUGUGGGGUGCUCGAGUGGCGAACGGGUGAGUAACACGUGAGUAACCUGCCCUUGACUUUGGGAUAACUUCAGGAAACUGGGGCUAAUACCGGAUAGGAGCUCCUGCUGCAUGGUGGGGGUUGGAAAGUUUCGGCGGUUGGGGAUGGACUCGCGGCUUAUCAGCUUGUUGGUGGGGUAGUGGCUUACCAAGGCUUUGACGGGUAGCCGGCCUGAGAGGGUGACCGGCACAUUUGGGACUGAGAAAGGGCCAGGACUCCUACGGGGGGAAGCAGUGGGAAAUAUGGACAAAUGGGGGGAGGCGUGAGCAGGAAACGCGGGGUGCGGGAUGACGGCUUUCGGGUGGAAAACGGCUUCGGCCUGUAAGAAAGGGUGAGUGCGGUAAAUGGGAAAGAAAGCCCCGGCUAACUACGUG